AUUGAACGCUGGCGGCAGGCCUAACACAUGCAAGUCGAGCGAGCGGCGGACGGGUGAGUAAUGUCUGGGGAUCUGCCCGAUAGAGGGGGAUAACUACUGGAAACGGUGGCUACUACCGCAUACUCUCCGAUGAACCCAUAUGGGAUUAGCUAGUAGGGUGGGUAAAGGCUCACCUAGGCGACGAUCACUACCUGGUCUGAGAGGAUUAGCAGCCACACGGGGACUGAGACACGGUCCAGACUCCUACGGGAGGCAGCAGUGGGGAAUAUUGCACAAUGGGCGCAAGCCUGAUGCAGCCAUGCCGCGUGUAUGAAGAAGGCCUUAGGGUUGUAAAGUACUUUCAGCGGGGAGGCGUUACCCGCAGAAGAAGCACCGGCUAACUCCGUGCCAGCAGCCGCGGUAAUUC
rnacentral:rRNA from 1 species